rnacentral:rRNA from 1 species
AUAUCAGUCAUGCAUAGCAUAUCAAUAAGCGGAGGAAAAGAAACUAACAAGGAUUCCCUUAGUAACGGCGAGUGAAGCGGGAAGAGCUCAAAUUUGAAAUCUUCAAGGUUUUACCUUGACGAAUUGUAGUUUAAAGAAGUGUUUUCUGUUGAAGUUUUGGUAAAAGUUCUUUGGAAUAGGACAUCAUAGAGGGUGAGAAUCCCGUAUUUGACCAUUACUUUCAGCUUUGUGAUACACUUUCAAAGAGUCGGAUUGUUUGGGAAUGCAGUCCAAAAUGGGUGGUAAAUUUCAUCUAAAGCUAAAUAUUGGCGAGAGACCGAUAGCGAACAAGUACCGUGAGGGAAAGAUGAAAAGAACUUUGAAAAGAGAGUUAAACAGUACGUGAAAUUGUCAAAAGGGAAGCGUUUGACACCAGUGUUGUUUUCUCGAAAAUCAAUUAAAAAGAGUUGGGAUUUUGUGUUGUAUUGACUUUAUCAGGCUUUCUUCACUCUUUUCCAGCUUUUUUUAAUGCACUUUUCGUUUAACAAGUCAACAUCAGUUUCUUUUGUUGUAAAAAGGUCAUUGGAAGGUGGCUUUCUCUUCGGAGAAAGUGUUUAUAGCCUUUGACUCAUGCAAUCGGAGAGACUGAGGUCUGCAGCGUAGAUCCUUCGGGGUUAGAUACAUUUGUGCUAAGUUAUAGCUUUUCAUAGACAACUUGUUGACUAUGUUUAGUCUUGUAGCUUACUCGCUUAUGCUAUUUUACCUACGCUUAGGAUGUUGAACUCUAUCACACACAG